rnacentral:tRNA from 1 species
AGUAAUGUGCCUGAAUAAAGGAUUAUCGUGAUAGGAUAAAUAAUGUAAUUUUAUUACCCUUACUA